UACGUAGGGCGCAAGCGUUGUCCGGAAUUAUUGGGCGUAAAGAGCUCGUAGGCGGCUUGUCGCGUCUGUUGUGAAAGCCCGGGGCUUAACCCCGGGUCUGCAGUGGAUACGGGCAGGCUAGAGGCAGGUAGGGGAGAACGGAAUUCCCGGUGUAGCGGUGAAAUGCGCAGAUAUCGGGAGGAACACCGGUGGCGAAGGCGGCGACCUGGUCCUUGACUGACGCUGAGGCGCGAAAGCGUGGGGAGCAAACAGG
rnacentral:rRNA from 1 species